GCGCGAAGCUCAAAACACAGACUGCGCUCGGAGAGACUCGGCUGGUCUUUCUUUCGGACGGGGGUUCGACUCCCCCCGCCUCCACCA
rnacentral:tmRNA from 1 species